UGAACGCGAAGAACCUUACCUACCCUUGACAUGUACGGAACCCUGCUGAGAGGUGGGGGGCCCCGAAAGGGAGCCGUAACACAGGUUGCUACAUAGCUGUCGUCAGCUCGUGUCGUGAGAUGUUGGGUUAAGUCCCGCAACGAGCGCAACCCUUGUCCCUAGUUGCUACGCAAGAGCACUCCAGGGAGACUGCCGGUGACAAACCGGAGGAAGGUGGGGAUGACGUCAAGUCCUCAUGGCCCUUAUGGGUAGGGCUUCACACGUCAUACAAUGGUCGGAACAGAGGGUUGCCAAGCCGCGAGGUGGAGCCAAUCCCAGAAAACCGAUCGUAGUCCGGAUCGCAGUCUGCAACUCGACUGCGUGAAGCUGGAAUCGCUAGUAAUCGCGGAUCAUCAUGCCGCGGUGAAUACGUUCCCGGGUCUUGUACACACGCAA
rnacentral:rRNA from 1 species